GUCGCAUAGUAAAUAAUACAGUGAGUUAGGAGCUUUGCCCACCCUUCGUCCAGCCACAGGACACAAGAAGAAAGAAUCUGGACCAUUUCCGUCUGCCAAGAGCCCACUCUGUUCAGAUCCAUUUCGCAGAAUUAAAUGGAGGAGGAGGAGCAACUGGGAGUGUGAUACACAUUACCAGAGGAAUGGCCACCCUUAAAGAAAUUGUAAUUCUGGGUACAAUUUAAACAGAGCUGGCUUUCAGAAGCACCGUGGCUUUGUUGGACUUCGUUAAAAGUUCCUUGUAAAACAGAAAGUCCAAAAGAAAAAGGAAACCUGAUCUGAAGGCCUCAGAGGUAAAAUGGAUACUUCCCAGGUGCCCCGCUCCACUGUUUCUUCGCUGCUGGAGCGUGAAGCCUCAAUUCAGAGACAGGCGGAGUCCCAGCAACC